UGUCAAGAAUUGAAACUUACUUAUUAUUUGUACUGUUGGACUCUUCCAGACAGGAUUAGGAAACUGAUGUCCUGCAAAAAUCCCUGCAGCAACAAUCACCCCAGACCCUCUGUGACCCACAGCCCACCUCACAUACAGAGCCGUGGACCUGCUGGAGAACCACACACUGCAGCCAAAUGGAGUGGAGAGAGAGAAGCAGCAGAACUGAGGGAGGAGAGAGGAACUGGAGAUGCAGGAGAAAGACCAAAACCACCACCCAGGAGACGGCAGUGUGGAGUUAAAUAUCCAGCCUCCAGUACUGGUUGAUGGUUCUCUGGCGGUAGAGGAGCAGCAGAGGCAGCAGAGGGUGCUGGAGGACAGAAUGCUGCAGAUGGAGAGAAGAAAAGAGGAGCUUCAGAAGGAGAUUGAAGACUGCACAACUGGUCAGAAUCAGUAACAGUGCCCCAAAGCCUAGGCUUAAUAUAAUGUGAGCUGCAUUUC
rnacentral:lncRNA from 1 species